AUGCUGCGCUUCCAGUCCUUGGCUGUCUCCCUGCCGCUGACAAACUGGAACUCGUUGGGGGUGAGCCACUCUCCCCGGUACCGGAUAGAGGGUCCUUUGCUCCCCUGGCACAACUUAUUGAUGUAGAGCAGCGCCUUGUUCUCCCCGCACUCCACCUCGAUGCAAGGCUCUCCGUUGUCAAAGAAGGGCUGGAAAUCCGGGAUAGAGGAAAACCUCUCCAGCAUCAGCCCUACGGUUCCAUUCCUAAUGGCAACUUCACCUCCAAGAGUAGAGAACGCUUGGCUGCAGCCUCCUCCAGAGAUGAGUCUCCGUGUGUACUCCAGGAGGGGUCAGAGCAGAACAACAACAGGCUUCACGCUCCAAAACAAAUCCUUCUGCGGGACUUCCAGGCUUCUCAGAUCUCUGGUUUGGAUGCACACUCAGAUCUAACAGCACCCUACAUUACUCUGCACUCUGCCCCUAUCAAACCGCUGUAAUGAGACCUUGCAUAACCCAGAGAGCUUGUAUUUACCAUCUGCUUUAAAGGAAAAGGUGACUUGCCAUGGAGUUUUCCCACUGCAUGUCAGUUCAGUUGCUUUUUACCUCUGAAGAAACUGGGCUCAAAUCUGGACCUAGUCAUAAGUGAAGUGAAUGUGCUGAGUCUUCAGUCUAGAAGGGCAGCAACUACUGGGCUGUGUUUCAUUCCUGGAAAAAACAGACACUUGAUCCCAGCCAUGACAUAGGUGCACCGGCCAAGCUGUGCAAAGGUUCAGCACUCAAGAGUGAGACCUCACCACGGUGGCUCAACAUGAAGUGCGUGACCUGGACCAGGCAGGGUUUUCCACACACAACGUGAGGUGUUUGGGCAGAAAACGGUGAGGUCUGGGGGGAUCCAAGAGGCACAGAUUCAAGCCUGUCAGUCUCUUACAAGCACUAAAAGUUACUAACAAGCCCUCCCUACCUCUCCUUGCUGCCAUGUAGACCAGGAGCCCUCUCUGGAUGUCCGAGUUCGACGGCAGGAGUCUGAAGUUGUUCAGCUCCAGCCUCUUAACAGUAGAGCUUUCAGGAUUAGUGUAAAGAGAUUCACCACUGGAGAGCAGAUCAGGAAGAUCUGAGCAAAUCCACACACACGUGGUCAGAGAGAGACCCAGGUGCGCUUUGCAAAUUCCACACUGAGGGACCAGAAUACGGUUUCAAGUCUGGGAACACAAAUCGCCAUGUCUUUUCGCUGUGUGUUUCCACAGCACCUAGCAGAGUGAAAGCGUGAUUCUUAAUUUGCUCACAGAGGCAUUAGCACAGUAAACAUAAUAAAUAACGAUCAUUUUCCAACAUUUAGUUCCCCACCUCUGGAAUAUGUCAUGUUAGAUCGAAGCAAAAUCUGGAUCUUGCAUUUCUCUCAGCUCAAACGUGCCAACAACUGCAAAGAGCGAACUGUGCUGUAAAGCACUUUACAAGAAGAGAUGGUGCUUCAAGCACAGGUCUGAAAGUGAAGAGAUAAGGACUUCCUUCCUUAUUCUAUCACCAGUUCCAUGGACAGAUUAUUCUGGAUAUGCCUCCAUUAUUCUACCCAGAAAAGGAGGGGAAACUUCCUCAUUUGUUAUUUAGGUGUGUGACAGCAAACCUCUGAUUUUCUGACGGAGAUCAAAGGUCCUUUGUGCUAAGUGUUCUAAAAACUCAUUGCAGAUGCAGGGCCUGCCCCUUUACAGGAAAGACAGGUUGAGGAUGGGAGGAGAGAGACAGGCAGGUACGUGUAAAACGACCAGCUCGAGUUCACAAACCCAUCAGAGCUUGUGUCUGUGCAGGAUGCCAGCACAGACGCCAUACGUGCCGUCUCUGACACUGUUACGCCUCCGUCUAAGCUAAAGCAACGGAUGCAACGCUCUGCCAUGUAGCACUGGUUUUGCUGGCCUUGUUGUAGCAAGCCUGAGUUUCUCACAUCCAAAACUAUGCAAAGUUCCGUCCUGUACACUAAAAAAGCCUAGAUAAUAAAAUACAUCUUUCAACAA